rnacentral:rRNA from 1 species
GACGAACGCUGACGGCGUGCUUUAGACAUGCAAGUCGAACGAGAACACCCUUCGGGCGUAGUAAAGUAGGCGAACGGGUGAGUAACACGUGGGCAACCUGCCCCUCGCAGGGGGACGAACCGGAGGAAACUCCGGCUAAUACCCGUAAGCUUGUCGGACCGCAUGGUACUGACAAGGAAAGGUAGCUUCGGCCAUCCGGCGAGGGAUGGGCCCGCGGUACAUUAGCUAGUUGGGUGGGGUAACGGCCCACCAAGGCGACGANGUAUAGCUGGUCUGAGAGGAUGAUCAGCCACACUGGGACUGAGACACGGCCCAGACUCCUACGGGAGGCAGCAGUCGGGAAUCUUGCGCAAUGGGCGAAAGCCUGACGCAGCAACGCCGUGUGGGUGAGGAAGG